GAUGAACGCUGGCGGCGUGCCUAAUACAUGCAAGUCGAGCGAACGGACGAGAAGCUUGCUUCUCCGAUGUUAGCGGCGGACGGGUGAGUAACACGUGGAUAACCUACCUAUAAGACUGGGAUAACUUCGGGAAACCGGAGCUAAUACCGGAUAAUAUUUUAAACCGCAUGGUUCAAAAGUGAAAGACGGUCUUGCUGUCACUUAUAGAUGGAUCCGCGCUGCAUUAGCUAGUUGGUAAGGUAACGGCUUACCAAGGCAACGAUGCAUAGCCGACCUGAGAGGGUGAUCGGCCACACUGGAACUGAGACACGGUCCAGACUCCUACGGGAGGCAGCAGUAGGGAAUCUUCCGCAAUGGGCGAAAGCCUGACGGAGCAACGCCGCGUGAGUGAUGAAGGUCUUCGGAUCGUAAAACUCUGUUAUUAGGGAAGAACAUAUGUGUAAGUAACUGUGCACAUCUUGACGGUACCUAAUCAGAAAGCCACGGCUAACUACGUG
rnacentral:rRNA from 1 species